GUGCUUGCUUCAGCAGCACAUAUACUAAAAUUGAAUGAUACAGAGAAGAUUAGUAUGGCCCCUGCACAAGGAUGACACACAAAUUCAUGAAAUGUUCCAUAUUUUU
rnacentral:snRNA from 1 species